UACAGAGGUCCCAAGCGUUGUUCGGAUUCACUGGGCGUAAAGGGUGCGUAGGUGGUGAGGUAAGUCGGAUGUGAAAUCUCCGGGCUCAACCCGGAAAUGGCAUUGGAAACUACCUUGCUGGAGGAUUUGAGGGGGAUUGGAAUACUUGGUGUAGCAGUGAAAUGCGUAGAUAUCGAGAGGAACACCAGUGGCGAAGGCGAGUCCCUGGACGACUCCUGACACUGAGGCACGAAAGCUAGGGGAGCAAACAGG
rnacentral:rRNA from 1 species